CUCGCACGCCGUCCACGCAGUGGAUGUCGCGCUAUCGGCCAUCCCGCGGUCGCGGUGAUGGAUAAGAUGAGCCCCCGCUGCCCUUCGAUCCCCUCCGAACCCUAUUCCCCUCGUUCGCCUCCCCCCACGCAUCCCCCUCCCGAUCCCGAGCCCACCUGAGCAAAGCCGCCGUCACGCCAUUGUCGUAGACAUCCUCUGAAGCCCUAUAGCGCCGCACACUGUUGUCCAGGAGCAGCACCAUCGACCUCUACAUCGACUACAUCACCGGAUUGGACGAGAACGCCACUGCAAUCGACGCAUCGUCCACCUAUUCACCCACGGCCGCCGCCGCCAUUGACGCUCGAUCCCUCAUCUCCAGUACGUUCCCGGCCACCUCGAGCUCACCUUCGGCACCGUGUCCCGUCCUCGUCCUUGCUGUUGCUCCACACGUAUAUCCGACGGUGACGGUGACCAACGGGCUGUGGGCCUACCAGAGGGCGCGGCAGGCGACAACGCAAGGCCGCUCAUAGCAGGGUGCGUGGUCAAUGCUCACGACAAUGGUGGGCGUGAGCAUGGCACAGGCAGCGGCCAGGUGCAUGCGGGUGGUAGCCGUUGAGGACAUGUUGAUGUUCAUUCGGGCCACACGAUCCAAGGCAUGGAGAACUCCAAGGAGUUUGCUAACAAGUUGUUCGGGAUAUGUCGAGGCAGAGGAACAUUGAGUCGGAUGAAGGCAUUAACAAGGAUCGGCUCAAAGAGGUCUAGACGGAGAUUACUGACCACAUCUUGGACUAAGCUAUGUUCAGUUUAAGUCAAUCUAACAUACUGAUGAAAAUUUUCCUUUGGGUGUCUCACAUUAACAAGUGGAACAUGAACAUUGAUGGGAUGCUCACAGAAGAUGAGGUCAAGAAGGUGGCUACGCAAAUGAUCCCAAAGAGAAGACUACCGUUGGGCCUUUUGAUCGACCACGCGAUUCAAAAAGCUCUUUAGUGCAGUUUGCAACAACAAAAAUCAGAGGAUUGGUCGUUUGUAAGGGCGGAUAUCUCAGAGGCGGCAGCCACCCGGAUUGGAAUUUAAUUUCAAUCAAUUUCCCUGUCUGAAGUUUCAUACUAGAUGAGUUGCAAGUGGUACUAUGUUCCUACGCUGUGUCGACCCGAGCAGUUGCGAGAGCGAAUGAAGCUGCGGUUGCACGGACAAGCUUGUGGAGAUGUCAGUAUGCACGCAUGCGUCCCUGAUUUGGAUCAUGCCUCUGGCCUGGUAGGAUUCUUGCUCUGCCCCGACCUCAAGGGCGUUCGUCUAUCUGUGUCGUGCUUGGGAAAUGCAGGGAGAGAGUAUGAUUUUUUGACACAAUCUGCAGUACCCGUGAGCCUGCCCAUAGAUUGCCUGCUAUAUUACCAGUGCGUUGAAGGAAAAGCUGCUGCCACUAUUGAUGACCACUCCAGGUGAUAUAAUUCAUGUUUGCUUUGUUGUUUCAGCAGCUUCCUGUAGCAUAUUGGUUCCAUCUUUUUUUUGCAUCAUGGUACAUUAUUCUCAUCUUGAUAUAUAUCAUUUGGUCAACUAAAGAUUUGAGUGCAGGGUAGAAUUCUUGGUUGAUUUUAGAAUUUCGUUGUUGAUUAGUUGGCCAACAGACUUUGAUGAAAUUCAAGGCGUCAUUUAGUGUACUAUAUGUCAUAUUUGUCUUAUCUCUCAAUCUUGUGAGCCGUGAUUUUCAAGCUGCCAUGUAUGCCAUUGUGUCUUGUAUAAUGAUUCUUCUUAUUAUUUUUGAAUGGAAUAAUUAUUCUUAUUGAGGCACUGCCGCUGCCUAAUUUGCUUACAGAAAUAACAUACUAAUUAAUACAAGGAGAGAGUACAAUUUUUUGACACAAUUUGCAGUACCCGUCAGCCUGCCCAUAGGUACUGUAGCUUCCAUUCUUGUUUUCUCUCAUUGAAAUUAUGGAUUUGGAAACUAAUCAUGGAGUGUCUAGAUUGCCUGCUAUAUUACCAAGUGCGCUGAAGGAAAAGCUGUUGCCACUGUUGAUGACCACUCUAGGUGAUAUAAUUCAUGUUUGCUUUGUUGUUUCAGUAACUUCCUGUAGCAUAUUGGUUCCAUCUUCUUUUUUUGCAUCAUGUUACAUUAUUCUCAUCUUGAUAUAUAUCAUUUGGUCAACUGAAGAUUUGAGUGCAGGGUAGAAUUCUUGGUUGAUUUUAGAAUUACGUUGUUGAUUAGUUGGCCAACAGACUUUUAUGAAAUUCAAGGCGUCAUUUAGUGUACUAUAUGUCAUAUUUGUCUUAUUUCUAUACUCACAAUAUUUCCGCAACAUCUGAACAAAUGAUGCUAAAUUGAUAUAAUCAUUUUGGAUUAGUGUCAUCUUCUCAAUGCUGAACAGCCAAAAUAUAUACAUAGUGAGCAGUCCGACGCACAUGCUCAUACGUCAUAUUUAUGUACUGUUUAACACGGCAAAAAUUGGUCAAACAUUUAAACAUUUCUACUGUUUAACACAGCCAAAAUAUAUACAUAAUUAUCAGUCCUCCGCUGCACGUUAGGUCCAGCCUCCCUCCCUUGACACCAUUCUUCUUACUUAUUAUUAUUUAUUUAAAAAAUAUCUUUAGUUUUAUUUUCUAGCUACUUUAAUUCAUUUGUAUAUGGUUAGUUCCAUCGCACUACGAGGAUGAUCCAUGGCUGGUCACGGACGAUCACCUGCGAGGACGAUUCAUGGCCGGUUGGGGAUGGUCAGUUCCAUCACACUGCGAGGAGAUGAUUCAUGGCCGGUCGAGGAUGGUCACCUGCGGUGAGCACGAGUACCUCCUCCAUAUCCUCCCUAUACUAGCACACUUGGCGAUGAAAAUGACAGCCAGGAGAAUCCCUCCUUCACACCUCUUCUCCAUCUCUGUCAAAUUGUCCUCUCCAGCAAGCCCGAAGGCCAACCUUAAUACUGGACCUCGAGAGGAGCAUGUGGCCAACCAUGCCGGAGGACGCAGAGGAGUUGUUUGGGAAUGUUAUCAUCAGAGGACCCAAGAAGCAGCCCACCAUGGAUGCAUGGACCAACCACGGAAGUCUAUUCUUGCAAUCCAUCUGUGGCGAGGGUUCAUGACAUACAAGCCGAUAGAUUUGGGGGUCCACUUCCCGGUGAAACAAAUGUUCAUUGCAGACAAUACGAAGACGAUGAUUGGUACAUUGAGUAUGCUACCUUCGCCAAUAUACUGCAUCAUGUGAAGGCUGCAAGGUUGCACCUUGGAGCUCAAAAUUUGGUGUCUUCGCAUUGAAGGAUCCAAUCCAUCGACUUUGGAGUUUGAACAUGUCACUUGUGAUGGGGAGAGGAAGAGAUGACUUGCAUGCACUGGACAAUGAGUGUGUUAGCAGCGUGGUGGCUCAGGACUGUACAAGUUGUAGUAGCCCCUUCCCUUGUAAAUGUUUUGUUUUGAUUGGAAGCACCUUAUAAUUGAGCUAAUAUAUGGAUUUCAGUUACAUCGUC